UACGUAGGGUGCGAGCGUUAAUCGGAAUUACUGGGCGUAAAGUGUGCGCAGGUGGCCGCGCAAGUCGAGUGUGAAAUCCCCGAGCUUAACUUGGGAAUUGCGCUCGAAACUACGUGGCUCGAGUGUGGCAGAGGAAGGUGGAAUUCCACGUGUAGCGGUGAAAUGCGUAGAUAUCUGGAAGAACACCAGUGGCGAAGGCGGUCAACUGGCCCGUAACUGACGCUGAGGCACGAAAGCGUGGGUAGCCGAACAGG
rnacentral:rRNA from 1 species